rnacentral:rRNA from 1 species
UACGUAGGGUGCAAGCGUUGUCCGGAAUUAUUGGGCGUAAAGAGCUCGUAGGCGGUCUGUCGCGUCUGCUGUGAAAAUCCAGGGCUCAACCCUGGACCUGCAGUGGGUACGGGCAGACUAGAGUGCGGUAGGGGAGAUCGGAAUUCCUGGUGUAGCGGUGAAAUGCGCAGAUAUCUGGAGGAACACCGGUGGCGAAGGCGGCAUCCUGGACCGGCAUUGACGCUGAGGCGCGAAAGCCAGGGGAGCAAACGGG